AUUGAACGCUGGCGGCAGGCCUAACACAUGCAAGUCGAACGAGUGGCGGACGGGAGAGUAAUGUCUGGGAAACUGCCUGAUGGAGGGGGAUAACUACUGGAAACGGUAGCUAAUACCAUAUACCAACAGAUGUUCCCAAAUCGGUAUGGCUUGUUGGUGGGGUAACGUCUCACCAAGGCGACGUUCCCUAGCUGGUCUGAGAGGAUGAGCAGCCACACUGGAACGGGGACACGGUCCAGACGCCUACGGAAGGCAGCAGUGGUGAAUAUUGCACAAUGGGCGCGAACCUGAUGCAGCCAUGCCGCGUGUAUGAAGAAGGCCUUCGGGUUGUAAAGUACUUUCAGCGGGAAGGCGUUACCCGCAGAAGAAGCACCGGCUAACUCCGUGCCAGCAGCCGCGGUAAUAC
rnacentral:rRNA from 1 species